CAGCAGGGAGGCCGGAGCAGAAUUCCUGGGGUAGUCAGAAGAGGGACUUUCAGGGUCUCACUAGGUGGUGCAGGCUGCCCUCACAGUACCUGGCACACAGCUGGAGCACAGCAAGAAUGUGAGACACCAAGGAAUGAAAGGGUUCACCCUCCAAGAAGCUGGGAGUCAGAGCCCUGUGUCCUCACCGAAUGUGAUGGCCUCAGGGGUGAAUCCAGCAGGUCACAGAUGAGGAUCCGCAGGCUGGAAGCGGGGAGCAGAGCGAGAAAGCGCAGGAUGGCUAAGAUCUCAGGCCAUAUGCUCACCGCCUGGCCUCCAAGCCCAGUGCCGCCAAUGGCGUGCUGGGUUACCUUGGGUAAGUAACUUCAUCUCUGUGAGUUUCCAUCUCUGAAAGGGAAGCCUUGAGAAUGUUAGGUUUUAUUAUUACCAGCUAUUUUUAAUGACAGUCUGAAGACUUGCCCUGCCCCAGUGGAUUAGCCAGUGUAGAAGCAUUUUGCAGUGGUCAUUUCUGAAUCGUCGCUCAUUCGGCCGUUUCCCUCAG
rnacentral:lncRNA from 1 species